AAAAGACUUAGUCCUAACCUUACCAUUAAUUUAUGCCAGACCUAUACAUGCAAGUAUCCGCGCCCCAGUGCAAAUGCCCCCCAUCCCUUACCAAGGCAGAGGAGCAGGCAUCAGGCACACUCCAUCUGUAGCCCAAAACGCCUUGCUCAGCCACGCCCCCACGGGUACUCAGCAGUAACUAACAUUAAGCAAUAAGUGUAAACUUGACUUAGUCAUGGCAACUUCAGGGUUGGUAAAUCUUGUGCCAGCCACCGCGGUCAUACAAGAGACCCAAAUUAAUUGUACACGGCGUAAAGAGUGGCCCAAAUACUAUCGCCCCACCUGAGGUCAAAACGUGCCCGAGCCGUCAUAAGCCCAAGCCACCCCUAAGCUCACUACCUUAACCUCAGCCCCAACGACUAACUAACCCCACGAAAGCCAGGGGACAAACUGGGAUUAGAUACCCCACUAUGCCUGGCCGUAAAUUUAAAUGCCCCUCACACCCGAGCAUUCGCCAGGGAACUACGAGCAUAAACGCUUAAAACCCUAAGGACUUGGCGGUGCCCCAAACCCACCUAGAGGAGCCUGUUCUAUAAUCGAUAACCCACGCUACACCCGACCCUCCCUUGCCAUUAACAGCCUAUAUACCGCCGUCGCCAGCUCACCUCUCCUGAAAGUCCAACAGUGAACACAACAGCUUCACCCGCUAAAAAGACAGGUCAAGGUAUAGCCCAUGGGAGGGAAAGAAAUGGGCUACAUUUUCUGACACAGAAAACCAACGGAAGAGAACCUGAAACCGGUCCUCAAAAGGCGGAUUUAGCAGUAAGACAUGGUCAUCACACUAGUCUUAAACCGGCCCUGGGACACGUACAUACCGCCCGUCACCCUCCUCACGAAGCAAUCUCCCCACCCCAAACUAUAAUCACAACCAGCCAAAGAUGAGGUAAGUCGUAACAAGGUAAGUGUACCGGAAGGUGCACUUAGUAUAC
rnacentral:ncRNA from 1 species